rnacentral:lncRNA from 1 species
GAGAGAAGUGCUAAGACUACUUAGAUCCUGUAUUUUAGCGAGCAACAGAGACAGCUAAACAAAGUUAAAUGCAACCAGGAAAGAAGCCAGGAAGGUGGUGAGGUGUGCUGUGUUGUCUAUAGUGAAUACAACAGAUAAACUAAGUAUGUUUAUAGUCAGUAGCAAUUUGUUGGUAAAAGUUGUUUUGAGAGCUACUGUUAGCCUGCAGAGGCAGGUGGUUAAAGUAUACUGCAGGCAGCUGGGAAGAUUUGUGCCCAGGAGGCCCUGAAACAAAAGAUAACAGAAUGUUAAUGGAAAUUGACAGAUUUGAUUAUUCUUGAGGUCAUCUGCAUCCUCAGCAAUUUUACUUGCUUCCAUUUUCCUUCACUAGGAUUUAGCAUCAUCUUCUAGCAGCCUGAGUUGACUUUCAGUCCAGAAUUUGCAGCCUUGCAGAGAUUUGGCUGGAUGUUGAACAUCUUCAUUCUAUUCGCUAUAGCUCAACAAGACUUUAAUUGCUGCAAAGAGCUGGUCACCAGAGAUCGUGUCUGGCAAUCGUACUCUUGGUUCUCUUGAAGAUAGCCAAGCAUUCACUGCUAUUCUCCUGUUUAAGUUCCAGCUAUGCCAGACUAGCAUGGCUGGCAGAAGCCCCAGUACAGAUUCAAGACAUGCUGACAGAAGGAAUUUUUUGGCUGGUAUAGCUGCACCACAUUCCUGAAUUGCAUAAGCAAAGACAGCAUUUUUCUGCUGACGUAGCUGAGCACGUAGAAGAGGUCUGCCAGCACAGCCAAGAGAACAGAAAUGCAAAUUUAUUUUUGUAUUUAAAAAAAUAAGUAUGUAUCACAGUGAUUCCAGAAAUCUCAAAAAUCUGAAGCCAAGAAUGCUCUGGAACUAUAAAAUAAGACCAACAAACAAACAAACAUUGCUUCCUGCUGUCUCCUGGACUGCCGCCAGACUUCCUGAUGUCAACUGGUAAAUGACAAAACCGGCCCAGCAAUAAGGAAACGUGCAAAAAUAACCCAGCAAAGAUGCAACCCUGGCAAACAGCACAUCCUUCGGUCCUCCAGAAUGCCAGCAAAGAUGUUCUCUUCAGCAGAGGUCUCCGUAUGGGAAAUAUUAGAAGAGUUGUCAUUUAGUAAACUCUAUUAUUGAGCAUAAAAUAAGUAAAACAAAAUAAACUGUGUUUCAUCUGCCUUUCA